GACGAACGCUGGCGGCGUGCUUAACACAUGCAAGUCGAACGAAGAGCGAUGGAAGCUUGCUUCUAUCAAUCUUAGUGGCGAACGGGUGAGUAACGCGUAAUCAACCUGCCCUUCAGAGGGGGACAACAGUUGGAAACGACUGCUAAUACCGCAUACGAUCUAAUCUCGGCAUCGAGGAUAGAUGAAAGGUGGCCUCUACAUGUAAGCUAUCACUGAAGGAGGGGAUUGCGUCUGAUUAGCUAGUUGGAGGGGUAACGGCCCACCAAGGCGAUGAUCAGUAGCCGGUCUGAGAGGAUGAGCGGCCACGUUGGGACUGAGACACGGCCCAGACUCCUACGGGAGGCAGCAGUGGGGAAUCUUCCGCAAUGGAGGAAAGUCUGACGGAGCAACGCCGCGUGAGUGAUGACGGCCUUCGGGUUGUAAAGCUCUGUUAAUCGGGACGAAAGGCCUUCUUGCGAAUAGUGAGAAGGAUUGACGGUACCGGAAUAGAAAGCCACGGCUAACUACGUG
rnacentral:rRNA from 1 species